CCGGCACGCUCGCAGGCGUUAGCGCGCCUGCGGCCACGGAACGGGUCAAAGUCUUGGGAGGAACUGGUUUUCGGGCGCUCCAAGGAGCCGCCGCUUCCAUCGGGAAGAGAAGAAAAUCACCCGUUUCGAAAUGGCAGGACUUCGGUCCUGCCAUUUUUU
rnacentral:sRNA from 1 species